GUACGUACAGGGCAACGACCACGUCAUGGAGUAUAAUAACAUCUGGAACACCUGUCUUAACGCCAGCGACUGUGGCGCCCUCUAUGCCGGAAGAGACUGGACGAAUAGAGGUAAUGUAAUACGUUACAACCAUAUUCACCACACGUUACGUAACUGGCCUGGUUAUCCAGCGAGGGGAGUCAUGCUCGACGACCAAUAUUCCAGUGCCAUCAUCGAACACAACGUCUUCUACCACAAUGAAGUUCAUGUCAACAUUGGCGGAGGUCGAGACAACAUCGUCAGGUACAACGUCUUCUAUAAUGCGACGUCGUGGUCACUUCAAGUCGAUGGUCGGGGACUUCCACACGGCAAUAGUAAUGGUGGCACGCUGGACACCCGUCUAAAGGCUGUACCAUAUACCAGUCAGUUAUAGAAGGACCGGUAUCCCAAGUUGGCUGCUAUAGACCAAUCCAAUCGAAAUGCCCCUGAAGGAAACCAGAUGUACGAUAAUGUAUAUUACAACGAUAAAGGUACAUUGAUCAAUCAUAUCUAUCAGCGCACAUAUUUCGAUCUACACGAUAAUUUCAAGUCACGAUCACCAACUGACUUCUGGUUCCCAAAGAAUGCCAACUUCCGUCUGCGGUGUCUGGCAGCCAAUUGGGCCAACAGUGAGAAUGUUUCUCAACCAAUCAGUGUGGACAGAGUUGGGCCGCGACACAAAACCGGACCAUAUUACUUACAUUUAGGUCAGAGUAUCACCCACCAUCUGUCACCUCAACCAGAUCCUUGUGCAGGCACUGCAGACCCAGCUAUAAAGAUAGCGAAAUCACCACCUGUCUGAUGGGACCUAGUGCAUCGUCAUACACAGUAAAAGUCGUUUGAAUACUGUCAAAAUACGAUAGAUGUUUCAAGUGUUCUGUAAUAAAGUUUUAUGAAAACAA